AAUUCUCAAAAUAUAUCUUUUGCACACGCGAUGGAUUUUAUUUUGGACUUGGAGGUCUUGCAGAUUCACGUCUGCUCCUCUUAAAUUUAUUAGCUGGAUCACUGUGAACUCGGUUCCACUCGGCGUGAUAAGUAUCACUCGCUGAGGACACUGUAAAAGGUGGCCGGGAUUGCUGUAGAACCGCUUCUAACAGUCUAUUGAAUUAGACAAAUUAUAUUUAUG
rnacentral:misc_RNA from 1 species